UGUGUGUGUUGCUGGUGUCAGUUUCCUCUGCUGGGAUCAGGUUUCUCUGUUCUGGAUCUCCUGCAGAGCCGUCGAUAGGAGACGAAGGCUCACUGGUGAGGAGUAAAGUGGAGCAGAUUCAGAAGCAGCCUGUCUGUCACGUUACCUUCUGUAAGUCAGACUCCGGCUGACUCCAGGUCAGCAGCCGCUGGGACGUGUCUCUCAUCUCAAGGGGAGGACAGCUGCUGGGGGACUUUGGACGUUGCAUGCUGUGUCUUAAAGUCGGUGUGAGACGCGCUGAACUCAGCUUGAAGCUCGUUUUGACGUGUUUCUUCCUCCCGCUGUGUGACCAGCGCCCUCUACAGGCGACAGGAAACAGUCAUACAGGAGCCGCUGUGGUCUCAGUCUGGACUCGCCCUCAGCCGUCUUUAGACCCGGUCUUCAGUCUGGACUCGCCCUCAGCCGUCUUUAGACCCGGUCUUCAGUCUGGACUCGAGCUCAGUGAUGGCAGGAUCUGGUGUUGCUCUGAGGCUACAUGAGUUCAGAGAGGCUCAGGACUCGAGAGCAGCAGCAUUAAGGCCGAAACCCUCACGUCAGGGGACAGACGUACGUGGACUCUACCCGGGACAGCUGGGCAGAGUCCAUACUGUCCACUCAAAGGAUUGUGGGUAAGUUUAUGGCUACUGAGUGUGUGAAGUGGUGAUGUGAUUGUUGGUUGGUCGAGGUGGUCCGAGCAGCACCGCCAACCCCUCCGGCCCCCAGGGACGAACCAGAGCACCUGUAUGGUAGUCUGGCCGGUAGAGCAAACACUGUGUCUGGUUCUGGACCAGAGACCAACAAAAAGCCUGCAUGUGAGUCCACAACAUCCCCAAAUGAAACGCUCCAUGUUCUGUUUCCUGUGGCGUCCUCACAGCAGAGGGUCUCGGUCCCUGCGCGAGUCUCCUCGGGCUCCGAACCCGCCGUGUGAAGACUUCCAGCAGAGCUUUGACGUCCACACCCUGAGAGCCCUGACCGCCCUCCAUCACAGCCCUGCUGUCCCGGAACAGCGCCCCCCGCUGACGGCCUAUCAGGAGCACUUUGGUCUCCAGUCUCUUCCUUCUCCUCCGUUUUAAAGUCACGUGAGAGGCUCGACAUUAUCGAUCAGAGCCUUUUGCAAACUGCUGGCAUCCACAGCACACCCAGCGCUGAGCGGUGGGGCUCCUGACACGGUUUGAUCGGAAUAAAACUGGAACAGAAUGAUUAUGUGUGUGUGUGUGUUUGAUGAUCUCAAAUCAUCUCAGUUAUUAGCAGGUCUGCUGGGCAUAACACUAAACUGUCCACUGCACGUAUACUUUUGAGAGAAGAUGGUUUAAAUAUUUUUGGACGGAGUGUGCUGUAAUAACUGAGUUAUUAUUUGUGAUUAUUUUUACAUCCACAGUAGCAUCAGGUGGCCACCAGAGGGGGCUAAUAUACAAAUGA